GAUCAUGAGAGCACCAAGUUUCAAAGAAUUUCUUCAAGGGUUCAUUCAAGCACAUGUUGACAAGAGACACGAGAUUGACAAACUUGGCAUGCUCAAGAAGCUUAAAUGGGUUAUCCUACUUCAAGUGUGCAAGGUUAGAAUUCACAAGUUUGGCAUGCUCAAUGAGCUUAAAUGGGUCAUUUUAGUGCACAUGUGCAUGAAUGGAGUUAGUGGUGUUCAAUGCUAAUAAUUUCUCCAACAAAUGGUAAUAAAGAGCCCAAAUAUCUUCUUUUGCUAAAGGGGAUAGAACAUCUCACAUCUAGCUAUGAGAAUCUUACCUCCAGCCAUGAGUUAGAGCCAAAACAUCUUCAUUUAUAAAGGGAAAAUAAUAUCUCAUACCUAGCCAUGAGAAGCUUACAUUCAGCCAUGAGAAGAGG
rnacentral:misc_RNA from 1 species